UUGCAAUGAUGAGAUCUAUACCUUUUGAGAGCAGAUCACUCCUUCAUGAGCCAGGGAAAUAAUCUCUAUUAUUUCCUCCUGAGCGGUUACCUGAGCAA